rnacentral:rRNA from 1 species
GACGAACGCUGGCGGCGUGCUUAACACAUGCAAGUCGAGCGGUAAGGCCCUUUCGGGGGUACGACGAGCGGCGAACGGGUGAGUAACACGUGGGUGACCUGCCCUCAGCUCUGGGAUAAGCCUGGGAAACUGGGUCUAAUACCGGAUAUGACUCCAUGACGCAUGUUGUGGGGUGGAAAGCCUUGUGCGGCUGAGGAUGGGCCCGCGGCCUAUCAGCUUGUUGGUGGGGUGANGGCCUACCAAGGCGACGACGGGUAGCCGGCCUGAGAGGGCGACCGGCCACACUGGGACUGAGACACGGGCCCAGACUCCUACGGGAGGCAGCAGUGGGGAAUCUUGCGCAAUGGGCGAAAGCCUGACGCAGCGACGCCGCGUGAGGGAUGACGGCC